rnacentral:rRNA from 1 species
AUGGAUCUCUCCAUAUUGAGCUGGAAUGUGAGGGGUUUAAACAAUCCCGCGAAGAGAAGGGUUGUGCAGAUUUUUGUGUCUGAUCUCAAAUGCAACAUAGUAUGUUUGCAAGAAACGAAGCUCAACGAUCCUUCAAAUGGGCUUGUUGUGGAGGCACUGGGACCGAGAUUCAAGGAUAAUUUCAUCUCCCUCCCUGCGAACGGCUCCAGGGGAGGUGUGCUCAUUGCUUGCAAUGAGGAUUUCGAGAUAAAAAAUGAUCUAUCUGCGGCAGGGGACUUUUCAGUCUCGGGAACGAUCAGAUGCAGAGCCAAUGGGGAGAGCUGGUCCAUCUCCGGUGUUUACGGACCGCAAUUGGAAGAGGAGAAGGUCUAG